rnacentral:rRNA from 1 species
GACGAACGCUGGCGGCGUGCCUAAUACAUGCAAGUAGAACGCUGAAGAGAGGAGCUUGCUCUUCUUGGAUGAGUUGCGAACGGGUGAGUAACGCGUAGGUAACCUGCCUUGUAGCGGGGGAUAACUAUUGGAAACGAUAGCUAAUACCGCAUAACAAUGGAUGACACAUGUCAUUUAUUUGAAAGGGGCAAUUGCUCCACUACAAGAUGGACCUGCGUUGUAUUAGCUAGUAGGUGAGGUAAUGGCUCACCUAGGCGACGAUGCAUAGCCGACCUGAGAGGGUGAUCGGCCACACUGGGACUGAGACACGGCCCAGACUCCUACGGGAGGCAGCAGUAGGGAAUCUUCGGCAAUGGGGGCAACCCUGACCGAGCAACGCCGCGUGAGUGAAGAAGGUUUUCGGAUCGUAAAGCUCUGUUGUAAGUCAAGAACGGGUGUGAGAGUGGAAAGUUCACACUGUGACGGUAGCUUACCAGAAAGGGACGGCUAACUACGUG